GCAGCAACCAUUCCUAGAACAUAUCAACUGAUCUCUUCAUCUCCUCAUCCGGCCUCUAGGUGGGUAUGUAUUGUGAUGNGAAGAAGUGUCUGGCAGAGAAGCAUGGAGCUCUGUUAAUGAACUGAAGCAAAAGGAAGAGCUGAGAAUUCGUCUGAUGGAAAAUGAUGUUAGGCUUCAAAUAGUGUAUGGCGUGCAAGCUAAGCAUUCUUUUUUUUGGGCUGUGCUUUCAAAGAAUCUGUUGGCAACAAAUUACUUAAGUUUUGGGGAUAUGAUGACGCGUAAUUGCUCCAAAGUUGUAGCUUGUGCGAUAGUAUUGGUGGAUAUGAUCUUUCGUUUUCCUACUUCCUGACUUUGGCUUAUCGACAGUCCGAGAGAAAUGAGUUUCAUAGGUAUUACUGCAAUAGGUCAUGUGCAUGUUGCAAUUCAAAAGGAGUGCAGAUUCUUGAAAUGAAGUGCAUAUAUCUAAAGAUUGAGGAUUUGCAUGGAUAUGCUUAUUUUGUUUGGAGUCACUGGCCUUUUGCUAGUCUUGCCUCAUGUGGAGACAGUCAACAUAAUCUUUGCUACUGUUAAUGGAAGAGGCUUGGAUUUCAAAUCAAUCACUUUAAAUUGGUUAUUUGUGUCACCACCACCAUAGGAGUCAGAUCAUCCUUUCUGACCAGACAAGCUUUCUUUGACUACUGGUGUGAAACGAGUGGCCUUUACGAGCCACCUAAUUCUCUCGCCUGUUUGUCACGCGUCGAUGCAUGCUCUGGCAGACUCAUUUGGGGAUGGCUUUCCAGCAUCAGAUUGUCAGU